CCUACGGGGCAGCAGUGAGGAAUAUUGGUCAAUGGGCGAGAGCCUGAACCAGCCAAGCCGCGUGAAGGAUGAAGGAUCUAUGGUUUGUAAACUUCUUUUAUAUGGGAAUAAAGUGAGGAACGUGUUCCUUUUUGUAUGUACCAUAUGAAUAAGCAUCGGCUAACUCCGUGCCAGCAGCCGCGGUAAUACGGAGGGUGCGAGCGUUAUCCGGAUUUAUUGGGUUUAAGGGGUGCGUAGGUGGUUAAUUAAGUUAGCGGUGAAAGUUUGUGGCUUAACCAUAAAAUUGCCGUUGAAACUGGUUGACUUGAGUAUAUGUGAGGUAGGCGGAAUGCGUGGUGUAGCGGUGAAAUGCGUAGAUAUCACGCAGAACUCCGAUUGCGAAGGCAGCUUACUGGACUAUAACUGACGCUGAGGCACGAAAGCGUGGGGAUCAAACAGGAUUAGAUACCCUGGUAGUC
rnacentral:rRNA from 1 species